UACGUAGGGGGCAAGCGUUGUCCGGAUUUAUUGGGCGUAAAGAGCGUGUAGGCGGCCAUGUAGGUCCGUUGUGAAAACUCGAGGCUCAACCUCGAGACGCCGAUGGAAACCAUGUGGCUAGAGUCCGGAAGAGGAGAGUGGAAAUUCCUGGUGUAGCGGUGAAAUGCGCAGAUAUCAGGAAGAACACCCGUGGCUAAGGCGGCUC
rnacentral:rRNA from 1 species